rnacentral:misc_RNA from 1 species
UAAUAAAAGUGUUUUAUGGCACUUUUCAAACAAAUCCAUAUCCACCUUGUGUGCAAUGUUUUUUUUUUUUUAAAUAAACACUUUAUUUUUUAAUUGCCAAUUUAUCUGAGGAUCAGUAUUAUUAUGAAUUAACUUAAUUCAAAAUA